rnacentral:rRNA from 1 species
UACGUAGGGUGCAAGCGUUGUCCGGAAUUAUUGGGCGUAAAGAGCUCGUAGGUGGUCUGUUACGUCUGCUGUGAAAUCCUAGGGCUUAACCCUGGGCCUGCAGUGGAUACGGGCAGACUAGAGGUAGGUAGGGGAGAAUGGAAUUCCCGGUGUAGCGGUGAAAUGCGCAGAUAUCGGGAGGAACACCGGUGGCGAAGGCGGUUCUCUGGCCUUACCUGACACUGGAGGAGCGAAAGCGUGGGAGCGGAA